UGCAGUCGAACGAUGAUCUCCAGCUUGCUGGGGGGAUUAGUGGCGAACGGGUGAGUAACACGUGAGUAACCUGCCCUUGACUCUGGGAUAAGCCUGGGAAACUGGGUCUAAUACCGGAUAUGACCAUUCCACGCAUGUGGUGGUGGUGGAAAGCUUUUGCGGUUUUGGAUGGACUCGCGGCCUAUCAGCUUGUUGGUGGGGUAAUGGCCUACCAAGGCGACGACGGGUAGCCGGCCUGAGAGGGUGACCGGCCACACUGGGACUGAGACACGGCCCAGACUCCUACGGGAGGCAGCAGUGGGGAAUAUUGCACAAUGGGCGGAAGCCUGAUGCAGCGACGCCGCGUGAGGGAUGACGGCCUUCGGGUUGUAAACCUCUUUCAGUAGGGAAGAAGCGUAAGUGACGGUACCUGCAGAAGAAGCGCCGGCUAACUACGUGCCAGCAGCCGCGGUAAUACGUAGGGCGCAAGCGUUAUCCGGAAUUAUUGGGCGUAAAGAGCUCGUAGGCGGUUUGUCGCGUCUGCUGUGAAAGACCGGGGCUCAACUCCGGUUCUGCAGUGGGUACGGGCAGACUAGAGUGCAGUAGGGGAGACUGGAAUUCCUGGUGUAGCGGUGAAAUGCGCAGAUAUCAGGAGGAACACCGAUGGCGAAGGCAGGUCUCUGGGCUGUAACUGACGCUGAGGAGCGAAAGCAUGGGGAGCGAACAGGAUUAGAUACCCUGGUAGUCCAUGCCGUAAACGUUGGGCACUAGGUGUGGGGGACAUUCCACGUUUUCCGCGCCGUAGCUAACGCAUUAAGUGCCCCGCCUGGGGAGUACGGCCGCAAGGCUAAAACUCAAAGGAAUUGACGGGGGCCCGCACAAGCGGCGGAGCAUGCGGAUUAAUUCGAUGCAACGCGAAGAACCUUACCAAGGCUUGACAUGGACUGGAAAGAUCUGGAGACAGGUCCCCCGCUUGCGGUCGGUUCACAGGUGGUGCAUGGUUGUCGUCAGCUCGUGUCGUGAGAUGUUGGGUUAAGUCCCGCAACGAGCGCAACCCUCGUUCUAUGUUGCCAGCGCGUUAUGGCGGGGACUCAUAGGAGACUGCCGGGGUCAACUCGGAGGAAGGUGGGGACGACGUCAAAUCAUCAUGCCCCUUAUGUCUUGGGCUUCACGCAUGCUACAAUGGCCGGUACAAAGGGUUGCGAUACUGUGAGGUGGAGCUAAUCCCAAAAAGCCGGUCUCAGUUCGGAUUGGGGUCUGCAACUCGACCCCA
rnacentral:rRNA from 1 species